rnacentral:rRNA from 1 species
CCUACGGGGGGCUGCAGUCGAGAAUCUUCGGCAAUGGGCGCAAGCCUGACCGAGCGACGCCGCGUGCGGGAUGAAGGCCUUCGGGUUGUAAACCGCUGUCGUAGGGGAGGAAGAUCCUGUGAAGAACAGGGUUUGACCGAUCCUAGGAGGAAGGGCCGGCUAAUCUCGUGCCAGCAGCCGCGGUAAUACGAGAGGCCCAAACGUUAUUCGGAGUUAAAGGGCUUAGUAGGUUCCAUGGCAACUAGGAAAGGAAAGCCCUCGGCUCAACCGAGGAAUUGCGCUCUAAACUGUCGUGCUCGAGGAAGCUAGAGGUGAGCGGAACUGAUGGUGGAGCGGUGAAAUGCGUUGAUAUCAUCAGGAACACCGGAGGCGAAGGCGGCUCACUGGGGCUUUUCUGACGCUGAGGAACGAAAGCCAGGGUAGCGAACGGGAUUAGAUACCCUAGUAGUC